rnacentral:rRNA from 1 species
UACGUAGGGGGCGAGCGUUGUCCGGAGUUACUGGGCGUAAAGGGCAUGCAGGCGGUCCGACACGUUUUGUGUGACAGCGGGUGGCUUAACUACCCGAGGAUACGAAAGACGGUUGGACUUGAGGACUCGAGAGGGACACGGAAUUCCGGGUGGAGUGGUGAAAUGCGUAGAGAUCCGGAGGAACACCGAAGGCGAAGGCAGUGUCCUGGCGAGUGACUGACGCUGAGGUGCGAAAGCCAGGGGAGCGAACAGG